CUACGGGUUGCAGCAGUGAGGAAUAUUGCACAAUGGGGGAAACCCUGAUGCAGCAACGCCGCGUGGAGGAUGACGCAUUUCGGUGUGUAAACUCCUUUUAUCAGAGAAGAAAAUGACGGUAUCUGAUGAAUAAGCUCCGGCUAACUCCGUGCCAGCAGCCGCGGUAAUACGGAGGGAGCAAGCGUUAUUCGGAAUCACUGGGCGUAAAGGACGCGUAGGCGGGACAGUAAGUCAGGUGUGAAAUCCAAUGGCUCAACCAUUGAACUGCACUUGAAACUGCUGACCUAGAGUACUGAAGAGGCAGAUGGAAUUAGUGGUGUAGGGGUAAAAUCCGUAGAUAUCACUAGGAAUACCGAAAGCGAAGGCGAUCUGCUGGGAAGUUACUGACGCUGAGGCGUGAAAGCGUGGGGAGCAAACAGGAUUAGAUACCCCCGUAGUC
rnacentral:rRNA from 1 species